GGGUCAGUAGGCUGGUCGUGCCACCGGUACGUACUGGUCUCACUGAUUCCUCCUUCCUGAAGAACCGUAAUGCCAUUAAUUUGGUGUUGCGGGGUAACAGGACUGUUACUUUGAAAAAAUUAGAGUGUUUAAAGCAAGCUAACGCUUGAAUACAUUAGCAUGGAAUAAUGAAAUAGGACGAUCGAUCCUAUUUUGUUAGUUCCUAGGAUUGACGUA
rnacentral:rRNA from 1 species